rnacentral:rRNA from 1 species
AACGAACGCUGGCGGCAGGCCUAACACAUGCAAGUCGAACGCCCUAGCAAUAGGGAGUGGCAGACGGGUGAGUAACACGUGGGAACCUUCCCUAUAGUAUGGAAUAGCCCAGGGAAACUUGGAGUAAUACCGUAUACGCCCGAGAGGGGAAAGAUUUAUCGCUAUAGGAUGGGCCCGCGUAGGAUUAGCUAGUUGGUGAGGUAAUGGCUCACCAAGGCGACGAUCCUUAGCUGGUCUGAGAGGACGACCAGCCACACUGGGACUGAGACACGGCCCAGACUCCUACGGGAGGCAGCAGUGGGGAAUAUUGGACAAUGGGCGCAAGCCUGAUCCAGCCAUGCCGCGUGAGUGAUGAAGGCCUUAGGGUUGUAAAGCUCUUUUGCCGGGGACGAUAAUGACGGUACCCGGAGAAUAAGUCCCGGCUAACUUCGUGCCAGCCGCCGCCGUAA